CUACGGGUGGCUCCAGUAGGGAAUAUUGCACAAUGGGCGAAAGCCUGAUGCAGCAACGCCGCGUGUGCGAUGAAGGCCUUCGGGUCGUAAAGCACUUUUCGGGAGGAUGAGAAAGGACAGUACUCCCGGAAUAAGUCUCGGCUAACUACGUGCCAGCAGCCGCGGUAACACGUAGGAGGCAAGCGUUAUCCGGAUUUACUGGGCGUAAAGCGCGUGCAGGUGGUUUGGUAAGUUGGAUGUGAAAUCUCCCGGCUCAACUGGGUGAGGUCGUUCAAAACUGCUAAACUGGAGGACGGUAGAGGAAAGUGGAAUUCCCGGUGUAGUGGUGAAAUGCGUAGAUAUCGGGAGGAACACCAGUGGCGAAAGCGACUUUCUGGACCGUUCCUGACACUCAGACGCGAAAGCUAGGGUAGCAAACGGGAUUAGAUACCCUUGUAGUC
rnacentral:rRNA from 1 species